rnacentral:rRNA from 1 species
GAUGAACGCUAGCUACAGGCUUAACACAUGCAAGUCGAGGGGAAACGACAUCGAAAGCUUGCUUUUGAUGGGCGUCGACCGGCGCACGGGUGAGUAACACGUAUCCAACCUGCCCAUCACUUGGGGAUAACCUUGCGAAAGUAAGACUAAUACCCAAUGAUAUCUCUAGAAGACAUCUGAAAGAGAUUAAAGAUUUAUCGGUGAUGGAUGGGGAUGCGUCUGAUUAGCUUGUUGGCGGGGUAACGGCCCACCAAGGCAACGAUCAGUAGGGGUUCUGAGAGGAAGGUCCCCCACAUUGGAACUGAGACCCGGUCCAAACUCCUACGGGAGGCAGCAGUGAGGAAUAUUGGUCAAUGGGCGAGAGCCUGAACCAGCCAAGUAGCGUGCAGGAAGACGGCCCUAUGGGUUGUAAACUGCUUUUAUAAGGGAAUAAAGUGAGAGUCGUGACUCUUUUUGUAUGUACCUUAUGAAUAAGGACCGGCUAAUUCCGUG